rnacentral:tRNA from 2 species
GGGCAGGUACCAGAGUGGCCAAAUGGGGCAGACUGUAAAUCUGCUGGCUUACGCCUUCGGUGGUUCGAAUCCGCCCCUGCCCA